AGGUGACGCCUUUCAGGCAUCCUCUCCCAAACUUUCAAAGGGUCGGCGCAAGCCGGCCCAUUUUUUUUGUCUCG
rnacentral:sRNA from 1 species